GCGCCCCCAGGCCACGUCCCCAGGGGCUGAUGGACCACCUGGGGCUGUCCUUCCGGAGGGUGCUUCCUCCUGGCCACACACGCUGCACCUGCUCUGCUCAUCGCCGGUCCCGGGGCGUCCUGUGUGUGGACUCUGGCUCCCCGUGUGAUCCCAGCUUCCCCGGCGGCAGCGUUUUGGACGUGAGCUCGCCCAGCCCGACGUCCCUGCUGAGUUCCUUUGACGGACCCUCCAGCUGAUGGCAUUAAUUAGACUCCUUGAAGCCAAAUGUGCCAGAGAGGUGCUACCUGGUGCUCUGGUUUGGUUCCAUCUCCUGAGUCCUUACCGCACCUUGGCCACCUGUCGUUGGUGGACAGGAGACCUGAUGCCAGAGACACACCCCACAUGGUGGCCUGGCCCUCCACGCAUGGCCCUGACCCGGCUCCCAGCCCCUCGAGUGGGCAUAAGACCUCAGGAUAAAGAAUGUGGUGAGGACUGGAG
rnacentral:lncRNA from 1 species